rnacentral:lncRNA from 1 species
AUGGGAACCCUAGGCAGUGCCGCCCUCACACUCCCUCAAACGUGGCCCUGCCUGGGGACCCCUGCUUUAGGGCCCACCCUCACCUCCUGCUGUCACCGACGGGUACUUGGGGCCAACGGGACACCACCCCCUCCCAGGCCACAAGCUCCUGCAAGAGCAACUUUCCCACGUCCAGGACCCCAGUGGGAUCCCAGCCCACUCCUAGGGGUCCAUCCCCUCCCAGGGCGAAUCUUGCUUCAGGCCCAAAGCAUUUGUCGGGGUGUGGACCCAGCCAGGCCACGUGGGCAGAGGUGUACCCACGAGUGCGCUCCUGGCCCCAAUGGAGCUAGGAGUGGGAACAGACACGGGGGAGGGGGAGAGGCCACAGCUGGGGUCUUCACUUGUCCUCUGGCCCCAUGCCCCACAGAUGGGGGGCAGGCUGGGCGCCUGGGGGCCGCUGGGUUCCCUGCUGUCGCCCUCGCGCUCCGGGUUUGCCGCGGUGGGGCGGGGGGAGGGGCAGGUGCCCGGCGCGGUGAGAGCUGGGCCGGGACGGCUGCGCGUGCACGCGGCGCAGGGGAGGAGGGGGCGCGCGCGGCUGCACGUGCGCGGGGGCUCAGCCUCCCCCGGGCGGCGGGAGAGGAAAUGGCGGGCGGGACGGCCCCCUCCGCGGGGAGACACUCGGGUCUAGACGGCUUGGCAAGGCCGGCGAGGCUGAGUCACAUGCGUCUGGAGCUGGAGACACGGGCGCCAGGACUGGAACAUGAACGUGCCCGCUUGGGAGGGCUGGGCGGGGGAGGGGGCACUCAACCUCGCCUUGCCUGUCCUUGGCCCCCAGUUGAGCACGAGCCCCAGUUUCUGCUCAGCCUUUGUCCUCUGAGGCCCCUCCAUGCCCACCUGGAGGGGCAGGGGCACCUUCCAAAGGGAGUCAAGUGGGGCCCACGUUACUGGCAGGAACCAACUGGGAUUUUAGAUGGGGAAAGAGGAUGGGAAAGUGGCUGUCAUGUGCUCCCAUCCCGACCUUGGUCCUGUUCCCUCCACCCGGCCACAUCCCAGCCACAUGGGCCACCUGGGACCUUUUUGCCCCAAAGCUGCCCUUGCUGCACUCGGCCCCCUCCAGUCCACCUUCCCUCCACGCUCUCCAGGGACGGCCACACUCCAGCAGCUGAAGGCCUUGGCUCCUCUCCCCUGACCGCCAGUUCCCCUCACUACCCCCCACCUCAUCCCCAGCCAUCAUUGUCCCAUUUGGGGUUCUGGUUCCCCUUCCCUCCUUCUCCUUUCCCUGUCUCUGUUCCUGUCUGUCUGUCUCUCCCUCCCUCCGUUACUCACUCGCUUGCUCAGGAACGCCAGGUCCUGGGCACAGAAGCACGAGGCCUGAAUCUGGAUGGGCUGAUGUCUUUAGUGCUCACAAAAGCGUCUGCAAGAAAAGUGUUUAAUUGGGACCAGGUCCUCUGA